rnacentral:tRNA from 1 species
GCUCUGGUGGCUCAAUCGGAUAGAGCGUUGGACUUCUAAUCCAAAGGUUGCGGGUUCGAGUCCCGCUCAGAGUA